GAAUUUCGGUUUAGAGGAAAGCGGCGAACGGGUGAGUAACGCGUACGCAACUUACCCUUGAGUGCGGAAUAGCCCUGGGAAACUGGGAUUAAUACCGCAUAGUUUAUGGAACUGGCAUCUGUUUCAUAAUAAAGCUUCGGCGCUCAAGGAUAGGCGUGCGUUCCAUUAGCUAGUUGGUAAGGUAACGGCUUACCAAGGCGAUGAUGGGUAGGGGGCGUGAGAGCGUGGCCCCCCACACGGGUACUGAGACACGGACCCGACUCCUACGGGAGGCAGCAGUAAGGAAUAUUGGACAAUGGACGGAAGUCUGAUCCAGCCAUCCCGCGUGCAGGAUGAAGGCGCUACGCGUUGUAAACUGCUUUUGUACAGGAAGAAACGCCUGGAUUUAUCCGGGCCUGACGGUACUGUAAGAAUAAGCACCGGCUAACUCCGUGCCAGCAGCCGCGGUAAUACGGAGGGUGCAAGCGUUAUCCGGAAUCACUGGGUUUAAAGGGUGCGUAGGCGGCUAAAUAAGUCAGAAGUGAAAGCCUGCGGCUUAACCGUAGAAUUGCUUUUGAUACUGUAUAGCUUGAAUUAGGUUGAGGUUGGCGGAAUGUGACAUGUAGCGGUGAAAUGCAUAGAUAUGUCAUAGAACACCAAUUGCGAAGGCA
rnacentral:rRNA from 1 species